AUUGAACGCUAGCGGCAGGCCUAACACAUGCAAGUCGAGCGAGCGGCGGGCGGGGGAGUAAUGUAUGGGGACUGCCCGAUAGAGGGGGAUAACUACAGGAGAAAGUAGCUAAUACAGCAUACUAUCGGAUAACCCAUAUGGGAUUAGCUAUUAGGUGAGGUAAUGGCUCACCUAGGCGACGAUCCCUAGCUGGUCUGAGAGGAGGAUCAGCCACACUGGGACUGAGACACGGCCCAGACUCCUACGGAGGCAGCAGUGGGGAAUAUUGGACAAUGGGCGAAAGCCUGAUGCAGUCAUGCCGCGUGUAUGAAGAAGGCCCUAGGGUUGUAAAGUACUUUCAGUCGGGAGGCGUUACCUACAGAAGAAGCACCGGCUAACUACGUGCCAGCAGCCGCGGUAAUAC
rnacentral:rRNA from 1 species